rnacentral:misc_RNA from 1 species
AAAUCUCACAAACCUGGUUUACGUUCGCGAAAACUGGGGGAAGUGGAUGUGGGUGCACUUGCAAGCCUGGCUUGCGAUGCAUCUAUAAAUGAUUGUGACGUGCGCCAAUUGUCGUGUCAACUGGUCGUCCGAAGCGCAACAGAUUCAUCUAUUCGUUUUGGUCAUCACUGGCUGACUUGGAGGCAUGUACUCAACUUGUCAACCGGGGCCCUGCAGUUUGCAGGAGCUCGCUGAUA